rnacentral:rRNA from 1 species
UACGUAGGGUGCGAGCGUUUAAUCGGAAUUACUGGGCGUAAAGCGUGCGCAGGCGGUUCGUUGUGUCCGAUGUGAAAGCCCCGGGCUUAACCUGGGAAUGGCAUUGGAAACUGGCGAGCUUGAGUGCGGCAGGAGGGGGGUGGGAAUUCCGCGUGUAGCAGUGAAAUGCGUAGAGAUGCGGAGGAACACCGAUGGCGAAGGCAGCCCCCUGGGUCGACACUGACGCUCAGGCACGAAAGCGUGGGGGAGCAAACAGG